AACCAGCUCUUCAAGUGGUCGGGAUAAUUAUUGGGCUUAAAGUGUCCGUAGCCGGUUUAGUAAGUUCCUGGUAAAAUCGGGUAGCUUAACUAUCUGCAUGCUAGGAAUACUGCUAUACUAGAGGGCGGGAGAGGUCUGAGGUACUACAGGGGUAGGGGCGAAAUCUUAUAAUCCUUGUAGGACCACCAGUGGCGAAGGCGUCAGACUGGAACGCGCCUGACGGUGAGGGACGAAAGCCAGGGGAGCGAACCGGAUUAGAUACCCGGGUAGUCCCGGCCGUAAACGAUGCAUACUAGGUGAUGGCACGGCCAUGAGCCAUGUCAGUGCCGUAGGGAACCGUUAAGUGUGCCGCCUGGGAAGUACGGUCGCAAGGCUAAAACUUAAAGGAAUUGGCGGGGGAGCACCACAAGGGGUAAAGCCUGCGGUUU
rnacentral:rRNA from 1 species